rnacentral:rRNA from 1 species
AGUGGCGAACGGGUGAGUAAUGCAUGGGCAAUCUACCCUUGAGUUUGGGAUAGCCUCCCGAAAGGGGGAUUAAUACCGGAUGUGGUCUUCUCACGCAUGUGAGAAUGUCUAAAGGUGGGGAUCCGCAAGGACCUACCGCUCGGGGAUGGGCCCAUGUCCUAUCAGCUUGUUGGUGAGGUAACGGCUCACCAAGGCGUACGGGUAGCUGGUCUGAGAGGAUGGCCAGUCACACUGGGACUGAGACACUGCCCAGACUCCUACGGGAGGCUGCAGUCGAGGAUCUUGGACAAUGCGCGAAAGCGUGAUCCAGCGACGCCGCGUGCAGGAUGAAGGCCUUCGGGUCGUAAACUGCUGUCGUGAGGGAACAACGGGCUCCGGGACAAUACCCCGGGGUUGUGAUAGUACCUCAGGAGGAAGACACGGCUAACUCUGUGCCAGCAGCCGCGGUAAUACAGAGGUGUCGAGCGUUGUUCGGAUUUACUGGGCGUAAAGGGUGCGUAGGCGGCUUCGUGUGUCGGGUGUGAAAUCUCACCGCUCAACGGUGAAACUGCAUUCGAAACUAUGGGGCUAGAGUACAGGAGAGGAAGGUGGAAUUCUCGGAGUAGCGGUGAAAUGCGUAGAUAUCGAGAGGAACACCGGUGGCGAAGGCGACCUUCUGGACUGAUACUGACGCUGAGGCACGAAGGCCGGGGUAGCAAACAGGAUUAGAUACCCUGGUAGUCCCGGCAGUAAACGUUGUGCACUUGGUGUGGGAGGAAUUAUCCCCUUCCGUGCCGGAGUUAACGUGUUAAGUGCACCGCCUGGGGAGUACGAUCGCAAGAUUAAAACUCAAAGGAAUUGACGGGGGCCCGCACAAGCGGUGGAGCAUGUGGCUUAAUUCGAUGCAACGCGAAGAACCUUACCAGGGCUUGACAUGCAGCUGCACGUCCCGUGAAAGCGGGAUUCCUUCGAGGGUGCUGCACAGGUGCUGCAUGGCUGUCGUCAGCUCGUGCCGUGAGGUGUUGGGUUAAGUCCCGCAACGAGCGCAACCCUUGUGAUUAGUUGCCACUCCGUAAGGAAGCACUCUAGUCAGACUGCCUGUGACAAGCAGGAGGAAGGUGGGGAUGACGUCAAGUCAGUAUGGCCUUUAUGUCCUGGGCUGCACACGUGCUACAAUGAACGGUAUAGAAGGACGCGAGACCGCGAGGUGGAGCAAAUCCUCAAAACCGUUCUCAGUUCGGAUUGAAGUCUGCAAUUCGACUUCAUGAAGCUGGAAUCGCUAGUAAAGGCGUAUCAGCAAUGACGCCUUGAAUACGUUCCCGGGCCUUGUACACACCGCCCGUCACAUCAUGAAAGCCGACUGCACCCGAAGUCG